UGACAUUGUAGAUCUACGUGC
rnacentral:miRNA from 1 species